rnacentral:rRNA from 1 species
AUUGAACGCUGGCGGCAUGCCUUACACAUGCAAGUCGAACGGCAGCAUGGAGAGCUUGCUCUCUGAUGGCGAGUGGCGAACGGGUGAGUAAAGCAUCGGAACGUACCGUGUAGUGGGGGAUAACGUAGCGAGAGUUACGCUAAUACCGCAUACGCACUGAGGUGGAAAGCAGGGGAUCGUAAGACCUUGCGCUAUACGAGCGGCCGAUGUCAGAUUAGCUAGUUGGUAGGGUAAAGGCCUACCAAGGCGACAAUCUGUAGCGGGUCUGAGAGGAUGAUCCGCCACACUGGGACUGAGACACGGCCCAGACUCCUACGGGAGGCAGCAGUGGGGAAUUUUGGACAAUGGGGGUAACCCUGAUCCAGCCAUGCCGCGUGAGUGAAGAAGGCCUUCGGGUUGUAAAGCUCUUUCGGCCGGGAAGAAAUCGCACAGGCUAAUACCCUGUGUGGAUGACGGUACCGGCAUAAGAAGCACCGGCUAACUACGUGCCAGCCGCCGCCGUAA